CAUGUACUCACUCCGUCCGAAAAUACUUGUCCUAGAGAUGAAUGUAUCUAGACUUAUUUUAGUUAUAGAUACAUCCAUUAUAUACAUUUUUAGGACAAGUAUUUUCAGACGGAGGGAGUAGUAU
rnacentral:pre_miRNA from 1 species